AGGAGCACAUGGAGACAAGGAUCUCAGUACAGAUGCUAGGGCUUAAAAAUGGGAAUACGUCUUAAGCAGAGAAAAUGGGAUCUUUUCUGGAUUGAAGAGUGUUAGCCAUUAAGUUCUCAAGUCCCUGUCUUAUUUGACAUUAUCCAAGAAAGAAGCAGAACACAGGAAAAUUUUCACAUCUGAGGAUAACACUAAGGUUUUCUGAGUAAUAAAUAACAAGUAUAAGGAAGCUAUAGAAAGAUCCCAUGAAAUCGAGGGCUAAAAAGUGGCAGGUGAUACUCAAUAUUGAUGAGAGUCUGAUAAAAUGUUUCAGGAAAAUGAUCCUUUACAUGAAACAACUUCAAAAGUGUCUCUAUAGCCCGUUGAUUUAUAAAUGAUUAAAAAGUCAGCCCAUGAAGACAAAAAAUGGGGAAGACAAUAUUAGAGAAAGGUGGAAAAUGAUAAAUGAGUGUUAAGUAACUUGGCAAAAAAAUAAAGCGUGCCGGUAAUGUGAAAGCAUAUUCAGAUUGUGGAGCCCAAAAACCCCCGAAAGCAGAGCUGCCAGAUGAAGGGUAGGUCCAGUUCCUGUAUGGCGAGGCACCAUAUUGAAAACAGAGAGCUAAGGAAAUAGCUACAUAAUUAACAGGCAUAUCCCCAUCCUUCUCUACCCGUUUACAGCAUGCUAGCCUACAAGUCUGUAAGUACUAGGCAGGUGAUUGGAAAUAUUUCCUGUAGAAAUAGAUUAACCCUGGAGAAAGACCCACAGAUUUCCCUAUUGCAAAUGUCAUGCCUGAUUCAGCUUCAUUGAAACACAAUGGUUUGACCAACCCAUAUAUGCAUAGAUUAUAAUCAGCUUUUUAGUACUUUAUAAAAUAUGAUUACAUCUCCAAGGAUCACCUGAUGUUUGUGAAAAGUUUUUAACAUCAAAGACUGAGACUGGGUUGGCUGCAUGUAAUCAUUGACCAGAAAUAACAAUGCCUUAAAUAUAAGAGGAAUGACUAGAGCUCCAGAUACCAUGUCCAAUUCCAAGCAGUAAGGAAGGAAAAAGGGCAGAAGGGUAAAAGGGCUAGCCUUUAUUUGUGUCAACUCCCUUUAAGCAGGUUCCCCAGAAGCCCUACAAAACACUUCGUUGGCCAGAACAUGCUCAUAUGAAUAUAUCUAGCUACAAGGGAGGUUGGAAAAUAUAGACUUUCAACAGGAUAAAUAUCUCUCCUGAAUAAUAUUGUUUUAUAGAUGAAGGAAAGAAUGAACUUUUGGUAAACAACCUGCAUACACACACACACGCGCACGCGCGCGCACACACACACACACACACAGGCUGAAUAAAGUAACUUGAAAAAAAUAAGAUUGAUGUACUAGAAGCAGAAAACUCCAAAAUAUGAUAUUUUCAGAAAGAAGAUAUUUACCCAUGAAUAAAGAACAGAUUUCUAUUUAAAAGAAAAGAACAAUAAAAAACCACAGAGCUCCUUGAAAUAAAAAAGAAAAUACAGUAGUCACAAAAGAGGGGGAUUGUGGACUAAAAUAUACAGUUGAAGAAAUCUCACAGAAAAGUGAAAGCAAGAAGAUUAAGGAGAAAAGAAUAGAAAACUAGAAAAUCCAGAAAUCCAAAUAUUUUAAUAAUAAGUGCUUAAGAAAAAGAUGUCAGGAAAAUUAGAGGAGUAAAAGAAAUAAUUAAAAGCUUUUU
rnacentral:lncRNA from 1 species